rnacentral:rRNA from 1 species
AGCAGCCGCGGUAAUUCCAGCUCCAAUAGCGUAUAUUAAAGUUGUUGCAGUUAAAAAGCUCGUAGUUGAAUUUCGGGAUCAAUAUUUCGGUCAUGCCGUUGGUAUGCACUGUUAUCAUUGAUUUCUCACCUUCUAAAGAACCGUAAUGCCAUUAAUUUGGUGUUACGGGGAAUUAGGACUGUUACCUUGAAAAAUUAGAGUGUUUAAAGCAGGCUCACGCUUGAAUACAUUAGCAUGGAAUAAUGAAAUAGGACAUCCGAUUCUAUUUUGUUGGUUUCUAGGAUCGAUGUAAUGAUUAAUAGGGAUAGUUGGGGGCAUUAGUAUUCAAUUGUCAGAGGUGAAAUUCUUGGUAUUUAUUGAAGACUAACUAACUGCGAAAGCAUUUGCCAAGGAUGUUUUCAUUAAUCAAGAACGAAAGUUAGGGGAUCGAAGACGAUCAGAUACCGUCGUAGUCUUAACC